rnacentral:rRNA from 1 species
UGAAUACGAGACGCUAAGGCGUCGAAGUAGUGUAUGUCAUACUUCCAAGAAAAGCUUGCACUGUCAUAGAUAAAAAACGCCUGUACCAUAACCGACACAGGUGGGUAGGUAGAGUAUACUAAGGGGCGCGAGAUAACUCUCUCUAAGGAACUCGGCAAAAUAACUCCGUAACUUCGGGAGAAGGAGUGCCUUAUUCGUAAGGUUGCAAUAACAAGAUCCAAGCAACUGUUUAUCAAAAACACAGGUCUCCGCUAAGUCGUAAGACGAUGUAUGGGGGCUGACGCCUGCCCAGUGCCAGAAGGUUAAAGAAGUUGGUUAGCAAUUGCGAAGCUGAUAACUGAAGCCCUGGUGAACGGCGGCCGUAACAAUAACGGUCCUAAGGUAGCGAAAUUCCUUGUCGGGUAAGUUCCGACCCGCACGAAAGGCGUAAUGAUUUGGAUACUGUCUCGGAGAGGGGCUCGGUGAAAUAGACUUGUCUGUGAAGAUGCGGACUACCUGCACCAGGACAGAAAGACCCUAUGAAGCUUUACUGUAACUUGAAAUUGAAAUUGGACUUUAUUCGCGCAGUAUAGGUGGGAGGCGUUGAUUAUAAUCUUGUGGGAUUAUUGGAGCCAUCAGUGAGAUACCACUCUUGUAAUGUUAGAUUUCUAACUUUGAAUCAUUAUCUGGUCAAAGAACAGUUUCAGGCGGGCAGUUUGACUGGGGCGGUCGCCUCCUAAACGGUAACGGAGGCGUACAAAGGUUUCCUCUGAACGGUUAGAAAUCGUAUCUAGAGUGUAAAGGCAUAAGGAAGCUUGACUGUGAGACCUACAAGUCGAGCAGGGACGAAAGUCGGUCUUAGUGAUCUGACGGUACUGAGUGGAAAGGCCGUCACUCAACGGAUAAAAGUUACUCUAAGGAUAACAGGCUGAUCUCCCCCAAGAGUUCACAUCGGCGGGGAGGUUUGGCACCUCGAUGUCGGCUCAUCGCAUCCUGGGGCGGUAGUACGUCCCAAGGGUUGGGCUGUUCGCCCAUGAAAGCGGUACGCGAGCUGGGUUCAGAACGUCGUGAGACAGUUCGGUCCAUAUCCGGUGUAGGCGUUAGAAUAUUGAGAGGAGCCUUCUUUAGUACGAGAGGACCGAGAAGGACAUACCUCUGGUGUACCAGUUAUCGUGCCAACGGUAAACGCUGGGUAGCUAUGUAUGGAGUGGAUAACCGCUGAAAGCAUCUAAGUGGGAAGCCCACCUCAAGAUAAGUAUUCUCAUC